rnacentral:rRNA from 1 species
GACGAACGCUGGCGGCGUGCUUAACACAUGCAAGUCGAGCGGAAAGGCCCUUCGGGGUCCUCGAGCGGCGAACGGGUGAGUAACACGUGAGUAACCUGCCCCCGACUUUGGGAUAACCCUCGGAAACGGGGGCUAAUACCGGAUACGACACAGCUUCGCAUGGGGUCUGUGUGGAAAGUUUUUCGGCUUUGGUUGGGUUCGCGGCCAAUCAGCUCGUUGGUGGGGUGAUGGCCUACGAAGGCGACGACGGGUAGCCGGCCUGGGAGGUGGGCCGGCCACCCUGGGCCUGAGGGACGGCCCAGACUCCAACGGGAGGCAGCAGUGGAGAAUAUUACACAAUGGGCGGAAGCCAGAUGCGGCGACGCCGCGUGAGGGAUGACGGCCUUCGGGUUGUAAACCUCUUUCAGCAGAGACGAGGCGUAAGUGACGGUACCUGCAGAAGAAGCGCCGGCCAACUACGUG